GCUCUUGUAGCUCAGUUGGUUAGAGCACCCGUUUAGUAAGUGGGAGGUCUUGAGUUCAACUCUCAACAAGAGCA
rfam:Ipomoea nil DNA, scaffold: scaffold2191, cultivar: Tokyo-kokei standard.